rnacentral:rRNA from 1 species
GAUGAACGCUGGCGGCGUGCCUAAUACAUGCAAGUCGAGCGAACAGACGAGGAGCUUGCUCCUCUGACGUUAGCGGCGGACGGGUGAGUAACACGUGGAUAACCUACCUAUAAGACUGGGAUAACUUCGGGAAACCGGAGCUAAUACCGGAUAAUAUAUUGAACCGCAUGGUUCAAUAGUGAAAGACGGUUUUGCUGUCACUUAUAGAUGGAUCCGCGCCGCAUUAGCUAGUUGGUAAGGUAACGGCUUACCAAGGCAACGAUGCGUAGCCGACCUGAGAGGGUGAACGGCCAAACUGGAAACGAGAAAAGGGCCAAGAUCCUUAGGGAAGGAGGAGUAGGGAAAUCUUCGCAAAGGGCGAAAGCCUGACGGAGCAACGCCGCGUGAGUGAUGAAGGUCUUCGGAUCGUAAAACUCUGUUAUUAGGGAAGAACAAAUGUGUAAGUAACUAUGCACGUCUUGACGGUACCUAAUCAGAAAGCCACGGCUAACUACGUG